UGCCAGCCGCCGCGGUAAGACAGAGGGUGCAAGCGUUGUUCGGAAUUAUUGGGCGUAAAGCGCACGUAGGCGGUUUGUCAAGUCGGAUGUGAAAGCCCGGGGCUCAACCCCGGAAGUGCAUCCGAAACUGGCUCACUUGAGUCCCGGAGAGGGUGGUGGAAUUCCUGGUGUAGAGGUGAAAUUCGUAGAUAUCAGGAGGAACACCCGUGGCGAAGGCGACCACCUGGACGGUGACUGACGCUGAGGUGCGAAAGCGUGGGGAGCAAACAGGAUUAGAUA
rnacentral:rRNA from 1 species